rnacentral:rRNA from 1 species
GUGGGGAAUAUUGGACAAUGGGCGAAAGCCUGAUCCAGCCAUGCCGCGUGUGUGAAGAAGGUCUUCGGAUUGUAAUGCACUUUAAGUUGGGAGGAAGGGCAGUAAGUUAAUACCUUGCUGUUUUGACGUUACCAACAGAAUGAGCACCGGCUAACUUCGUGCCAGCAGCCGCGGUAAUACGAAGGGUGCAAGCGUUAAUCGGAAUUACUGGGCGUAAAGCGCGCGUAGGUGGUUCAGCAAGUUGAAGGUGAAAUCCCCGGGCUCAACCUGGGAACUGCCUCCAAAACUACUGAGCUAGAGUACGGUAGAGGGUAGUGGAAUUUCCUGUGUAGCGGUGAAAUGCGUAGAUAUAGGAAGGAACACCAGUGGCGAAGGCGACUACCUGGACUGAUACUGACACUGAGGUGCGAAAGCGUGGGGAGCAAACAGGAUUAGAAACCCGGGUAGUCC